rnacentral:rRNA from 1 species
UACGUAGGUGGCGAGCGUUAUCCGGAAUUACUGGGCGUAAAGGGUGUGUAGGCGGGACUGCAAGUCAGAUGUGAAAAUUACGGGCUCAACCCGUGACCUGCAUUUGAAACUGUAGUUCUUGAGAGCCGGAGGGGUAAAUGGAAUUCCCAGUGUAGCGGUGAAAUGCGUAGAUAUUGGGAGGAACACCAGUGGCGAAGGCGAUUUACUGGACGGCAACUGACGCUGAGACACGAAAGUGUGGGGAGCAA